GAGGUUCUCCAUAGAUACAGAGGGUUAGAGAGGUUCUCCAUAGAUACAGAGGGUUAGAGAGGUUCUCCAUAGAUAGAGGGUUAGAGGUUCUCCAUAGGAUACAGAGGGUUAGAGAGGUUCUCCAUAGAUACAGAGGGUUAGAGAGGUUCUCCAUAGAUACAGAGGGUUAGAGGUUCUCCAUAGAUACAGAGGGUUAGAGGUUCUCCAUAGGAUACAGAGGGUUAGAGAGGUUCUCCAUAGAUACAGAGGGUUAGAGAGGUUCUCCAUAGGAUACAGAGGGUUAGAGGUUCUCCAUAGAUACAGAGGGUUAGAGGUUCUCCAUAGAUACAGAGGGUUAGAGGUUCUCCAUAGAUACAGAGGGUUAGAGAGGUUCUCCAUAGAUACAGAGGGUUAGAGGUUCUCCAUAGGAUACAGAGGGUUAGAGGUUCUCCAUAGAUACAGAGGGUUAGAGAGGUUCUCCAUAGAUACAGAGGGUUAGAGAGGUUCUCCAUAGGAUACAGAGGGUUAGAGAGGUUCUCCAUAGAUACAGAGGGUUAGAGAGGUUCUCCAUAGAUACAGAGGGUUAGAGAGGUUCUCCAUAGAUACAGAGGGUUAGAGGUUCUCCAUAGGAUACAGAGGGUGAGAG
ensembl:lncRNA